UACGUAGGGGGCAAGCGUUGUCCGGAUUUAUUGGGCGUAAAGAGCGUGUAGGCGGCCAGGUAGGUCUGCUGUGAAAACUCGAGGCUUAACCUCGAGAUGUCGGCGGAAACCAUCUGGCUAGAGUCCGGAAGAGGAGAAUGGAAUUCCCGGUGUAGCGGUGAAAUGCGCAGAUAUCAGGAGGAACACCAAUUGCGAAGGCAGCUCGCUGGGACGUUACUGACGCUGAGACGCGAAAGCGUGGGGAGCAAACAGG
rnacentral:rRNA from 1 species